GACGAACGCUGGCGGCGUGCCUAAUACAUGCAAGUCGAACGCUGAAGGAGGAGCUUGCUUCUCUGGAUGAGUUGCGAACGGGUGAGUAACGCGUAGGUAACCUGCCUGGUAGCGGGGGAUAACUAUUGGAAACGAUAGCUAAUACCGCAUAGUAGCAGUUGUUGCAUGACAACUGUUUGAAAGGUGCAAUUGCACCACUACCAGAUGGACCUGCGGUGUAUUAGCUAGUUGGUGGGGUAACGGCUCACCAAGGCGACGAUAGAUAGCCGACCUGGGAGGGGGAUCGGCCACCCUGGGACGGAGACACGGCCCAGACUCCUACGGGAGGCAGCAGUAGGGAAUCUUAGGCAAUAGACGGAAGUCUGACCGAGCAACGCCGCGCGAGUGAAGAAGGUUUUCGGAUCGUAAAGCUCUGUUGUAAGAGAAGAACGAGUGUGAGAGUGGAAAGUUCACACUGUGACGGUAUCUUAUCAGAAAGGGACGGCUAACUACGUG
rnacentral:rRNA from 1 species